CCUACGGGAGGCAGCAGUGGGGAAUUUUGGACAAUGGGCGCAAGCCUGAUCCAGCCAUGCCGCGUGUGGGAAGAAGGCCUUCGGGUUGUAAACCACUUUUGUCAGGGAAGAAACGGCCUUUACUAAUAUUAGGGGCUAAUGACGGUACCUGAAGAAUAAGCACCGGCUAACUACGUGCCAGCAGCCGCGGUAAUACGUAGGGUGCAAGCGUUAAUCGGAAUUACUGGGCGUAAAGCGUGCGCAGGCGGCUUUGCAAGACAGAUGUGAAAUCCCCGGGCUCAACCUGGGAACUGCAUUUGUGACUGCAUGGCUAGAGUACGGUAGAGGGGGAUGGAAUUCCGCGUGUAGCAGUGAAAUGCGUAGAUAUGCGGAGGAACACCGAUGGCGAAGGCAAUCCCCUGGACCUGUACUGACGCUCAUGCACGAAAGCGUGGGGAGCAAACAGGAUUAGAUACCCUGGUAGUCCACGCCCUAAACGAUGUCAACUGGUUGUUGGACGGCUUGCUGUUCAGUAACGAAGCUAACGCGUGAAGUUGACCGCCUGGGGAGUACGGCCGCAGGUUGAAACUCAAAGGAUUGACGGNNGAGAGNGCGAGACGACGACGAGGGAGGAGG
rnacentral:rRNA from 1 species